UCUCGUGCAGCGAAGAUUGGUUUUGGUUACUGCGUGAUGCGGACGUUUGCCGGAGAGCCGCGGCGGCGAGUCGGAGAAAAGGGACGAUGCGGCGCAACCGCACGACAUAGGUUUGGGCAUGAAGUGCGAUAUAUCCUUUUCCCGUCAGAUUCAUCUCUCCUUUUACCAUGUCUUGCAGACUUGCAGCGCAGACGGCAGUAGCACUAGAUGGCACAUCAAGAAACCUCAAGUGGGCGCGAAUCAGAAGUAGCCUGCGGCAGGACGACCUUGCAGGAUGUGUAGCUCAAGGAAUGCCUAUUAAACAGACCGCUGCUAGGACUGCUUGCAAUGAUUUUAACCUUUAAUAGACAAAUGCAAAUGGGCGGUCAGGCUUUGUAUCUGCUCCAAGGUUCCAUACAUCAGCAGGACUUGCUCCGUUUGGAUAUAAGCUCUAAACACGCAUGUUAGGGAAAUAUUACGACUGAUAUAGGACUUGGUAGAUUAUCAUGUAUUGAUGGAAGAUGGUGAAUGUAACUGUAUACUUUAUAUGUAGGACUAGGUAGAAUAUUAUAUUCUGAUGCUACAUUGUAAAUUGUCUACUCUUCAAAUACUCUUCAUGUA